CCCUACGGGACGCAGCAGUGGGGGAUAUUGCACAAUGGGGGAAACCCUGAUGCAGCGACGCCGCGUGUGGGAAGACGGUCUUCUGGAUUGUAAACCACUGUCCCCAGGGACGAAAAUGACGGUACCUGGGGAGGAAGCUCCGGCUAACUACGUGCCAGCAGCCGCGGUAAUACGUAGGGGGCAAGCGUUAUCCGGAUUUACUGGGUGUAAAGGGAGCGUAGACGGCGAAGAAAGUCUGAAGUGAAAGCCCGCGGCUCAACCGCGGAAUGGCUUUGGAAACUUUUUUGCUGGAGUACCGGAGAGGU
rnacentral:rRNA from 1 species